UCUUAAUUAGAUCUAUAUUCAAAGACUAACCAAAGCUAGCCUUUGAAUAUGGAUCUAAUUAAGAAUUUUGGAAAACUUGCAGAAAAGUUUUAUAAAGUAAGAAAUUUAUUUAUUCUUAGAUCAGUGUAAAAUAAAUAGAGUUUAUCCCCAUUCUUUUAUAAACAUAUGUCUCCCAAUUAGAUCUAGAAAGAUACUGGAAAAUACAAAAAGAAUAUGUUUUAAAUUUGCUCUUAGUGACAUUAUGCAGAUUUUCCACUCAUAUAGAAUAAAAUUUGAAGAAUAUGAAAUAAAGCUUAAUAAUAUAUCUCAGCAGAAUUGAUUAGAUAGGCUCUCUAGAAUAAGAUUGAAAUUAACCAAGAUACAGAGGGAUUUGAAGGUUAAGCAUGUUAAAAAAUUAAAGUGGUUAAUUAGUUUGCAACUUAAAAAUAAGAAUCAAGUUAAGCUAUGUAUAAAAGAUAUUUUAGUAGUUAUAGGAGAUAUAGUCAUGCCAUAUUGCAUUAGAGAUUUAUUUUUAAAGGGGACUCUGUAUGCUGUUAUUGACAAACAAUGCAUUCUUAAGAGUAUUCCAACCAUAGACUUGAUAAAACUAUUGGAUAUGCUAGACAAAGAGAGAAUAAGAUAGAAAGUAAUAGAGGAGAGAUCCAAAUGAAAGAAAAAAGCUGAUGAAACAUUAUCUAAAAGAGAGCACCUCUUAGUUAAUAGGACAUUAGAAUGGCUAAAAGAAAACAAGUUAAUAAUUACCAGAGAUAAGUAAAAAAAAAACUAGUUAUGUUAGAGGAAGAGAAGUAUAAGGACAUGCUAAGACAAUAUAUUGUAGAAUCAGAAGCAAUAGAGAUCCAGAAUGAUCUGACUUUUAUGCUUACAAAUAAAGUAGGGAGGCUACUUAAAAAGAACUAUACAGAAUGCUUUAGGACCAAGGCAAUAAAAAGCCAGCAUAUCCAAGACUAUUUGGGUUUAUUAAGACGCAUAAAGCACCUAUAUUCUCUAGACCUAUAGU
rnacentral:lncRNA from 1 species